GCCCAGAUUUUGAUAAAAAAAGUUAUAGGUAAAUUUGUAUAGCCUUUUCAAUGCUCAUAACAGUUUCAGCCAUUAUUCCCCACAAGGAAGAAGAUUCCAACUGUUGCGCCGGUUGGAAAAUGAGAUGGCUCAAUGAGCUUGUUAUCCACAAAAGCAAAGAUCCAAAUUCCAAUUCUCUGCUUCUUCUUACGGA